rnacentral:rRNA from 1 species
UUGUGGGUCGAAGCGGAGAAUUUAAGCCCCAGUAAACGGCGGUGGUAACUAUAACCAUCCUAAGGUAGCGAAAUUCCUUGUCGGGUAAGUUCCGACCUGCACGAAUGGCGUAACGACUUCCCUGCUGUCUCAACCACAGGCCCGGUGAAAUUGCAGUACGAGUAAAGAUGCUCGUUUCGCGCGGCAGGACGAAAAGACCCCGGGACCUUCACUAUAGCUUGGUAUUGUUGUUUGGUUCGGUUUGUGUAGGAUAGGUGGGAGACUGUGAAGUAUCCACGCUAGUGGGUGUGGAGUCGUUGUUGAAAUACCACUCUGAUCGGAUUGAGCAUCUAACCUUGGCCCAUGAUCUGGGUUGGGGACAGUGCCUGGUGGGUAGUUUAACUGGGGCGGUUGCCUCCUAAAAUGUAACGGAGGCGCCCAAAGGUUUCCUCAGCCUGGUUGGCAAUCAGGUGGUGAGUGUAAGUGCACAAGGGAGCUUGACUGUGAGAGUGACAACUCGAGCAGGGACGAAAGUCGGGACUAGUGAUCCGGCACCUACUUGUGGAUGUGGUGUCGCUCAACGGAUAAAAGGUACCCCGGGGAUAACAGGCUGAUCUUCCCCAAGAGUCCAUAUCGACGGGAUGGUUUGGCACCUCGAUGUCGGCUCGUCGCAUCCUGGGGCUGGAGUAGGUCCCAAGGGUUGGGCUGUUCGCCCAUUAAAGCGGCACGCGAGCUGGGUUUAGAACGUCGUGAGACAGUUCGGUCUCUAUCCGCCGUGCGCGUUGAAACUUGAAGAAGGCUGUCCCUAGUACGAGAGGACCGGGACGGACGUACCUCUGGUGUGCCAGUUGUUCCGCCAGGAGCAGGGCUGGUUGGCUACGUACGGGAGGGAUAACCGCUGAAAGCAUCUAAGCGGGAAGCCUGUUUUAAGAUGAGGUUUCUUUUGAGGUUCCCUAGAGAUUAUGGGGUUGAUAGGCCGGAUCUGGAAGCACAGUAAUGUGUGGAGGUGACCGGUACUAAUUUACCAACACAACAAACAC